AUACGGAGGGUGCGAACGUUAAUCGGAAUUACUGGGCGUAAAGCGCGCGUAGGCGGUUUGUUAAGUGAGGUGUGAAAUCCCCGGGCUCAACCUGGGAAUUGCACUUCAAACUGGCAGGCUAGAGUGUAGUAGAGGGAGGUGGAAUUUCCUGUGUAGCGGUGAAAUGCGUAGAUAUAGGAAGGAACACCAGUGGCGAAGGCGGCCUCCUGGACUAACACUGACGCUGAGGUGCGAAAGCGUGGGGAGCAAACAGGAGUAGAUACCCCAGUAGUCC
rnacentral:rRNA from 1 species